GCUGUCUAUGGGAGUGACUAAUGUCUUGGUUUUUAGACUACUACUUCCAAGACUGGGAAUUGACAUUCUCCCUCUCUGUCUCAUCUCCCUAUGCCCAAACCCUUCUGGAAAUCUUCCUGCAAGGCUCCAGAUGAAAAAGGAAGGAGAUUCCUGGGGACCUCUACUGUGUGCUGGAGUAGCUCAUGCCAUUUAUCUCAUGUACAUGGAAAAGGAAAUCCCCUUAUAAUCUUCACCUGAAUCUCCUCAUAUGUGCCCUGGAUUAAUACAGUCAUAAAACCUAAGUAGCUGAUAAAUCUGACCAGCCUGAGACAGACUCUCCAAGCCUGAGUUCUUCUGGUACCCCUUGAGUUCAACACAGCAGGUUCCUAUCAUGACCCCAUACUGUCCCCACCUGUCCUUAAAGAGGAUCUCAAAGAUACACAAGUCGGUGAUGAUUGUUUCCUGUAAAGCGUCUCAAUAAAAACAUAACCUCCAGCA